rnacentral:lncRNA from 1 species
UACCCAAUCGAUGAUCAGUCGAUUAUAAUCGAAGUUCAACUCUCGUAUUUCGAAAAUUCACUUCCUUACAAAUCUCCUUCUUCUGCUUUGUCGUCAAAGAAUCAGACAUCUUUUCUUUUCCCAACAGUACCUUCUAAUCUCCUUCUUCUGCUUUGCCGUCAAAGAAUCAGACAUCUUUUCUUUUCCCAACAGUACCUUCUGCAAUCCUUGCUGCGUCAAUACAGCACGCAUCUUGACUUGUCAUAAUGCGAAAUUGUUAGUCCUGUCAAAUUUCUGAAUCUCGAACUUCGUCGUCAUCUUAAUCCUCAAAGGGAAUAGAAAGGCUCUGAUACUAGUUUGUUAAAAUCGAAACGACGAAAAUUAGAUCCAGAAAAUAAUUUAAUGCAUGAAACGAAAAGAUAAGAAAAAAGCACAUCGAUAUUUGCAUGGUUCGGUCAACGGCCUACGUCUACAGACAAAAACGGAGCAAAUAAUUUAUUAAUGUCAAUACAAGAGAAUCUCUCAAAGACCAAAACUUAAUUAGAUUGGAAACGCCGCA